GUGGCCGCAUGGCCCGGGGGGAGGAAGGGGCUGCGCGGCCCACACCCCGAGCCUCCCCUCUACCCUCUCCAGCUGAGCACUGAGGAGGCCGCUGCUCCGUGUCCUGGAUUCUGAGCAAAGCCGUGGGCCUUAGACCCUCCCCAGCCGCAGGCGAGCCCCAGUGCCGACACCUGUUAAGAGACGGUGCAUUGCUGGCUAAACCCGCAGACACUGAGCGGGGACGCCACUUCCGACGGUGAAGCCUGUGUUUGAAUCACUGAGAGUAAAUUAAAAUGAGGUUCCUGACGGGGUAGCUGCUC
rnacentral:lncRNA from 1 species